GUGACAAUUUAAACGGCCGCGGUAUUUUGACCGUGCGAAGGUAGCGCAAUCACUUGUCUCUUAAAUGAAGACCUGUAUGAAUGGUAGAACGAGGGCUUAACUGUCUCCCUUUUUAAGUCAAUGAAAUUGAUCUGCCCGUGCAGAAGCGAGCAUAAUAAUACAAGACGAGAAGACCCUUUGGAGCUUAAGGCCCCAGAUCAACUAUGUCAAGAACUUUAACCAAGUUAAACCAAAUAGCACCUGAUCUUAGCCUUCAGUUGGGGCGACCGUGGGAGAAAAUAAAGCUCCCAUGAGGACUGGACCCACCUCCAGAACCAAGAAAAACAUUUCUAAGUCACAGAACCUCUGACCAUAAUGAUCCGGCCACCAGCCGAUCAACGAACCUAGUUACCCUAGGGAUAACAGCGCAAUCCCCUUUCAGAGUCCAUAUCGACAAGGGGGUUUACGACCUCGAUGUUGGAUCAGGACAUCCUAAUGGUGCAGCCGCUAUUAAGGGUUCGUUUGUUCAACGAUUAAAGUCCUACGUG
rnacentral:rRNA from 1 species